UACGGGGGGGGCAAGCGUUGUCCGGAAUUACUGGGCGUAAAGGGCUCGUAGGCGGCCAAGUAAGUCCGAGGUGAAAUCCCCAGGCUUAACCUGGGAACUGCGUCGGAUACUGGAUGGCUUGAAUCCGGGAGAGGGAUGCGGAAUUCCAGGUGUAGCGGUGAAAUGCGUAGAUAUCUGGAGGAACACCGGUGGCGAAGGCGGCAUCCUGGACCGGCAUUGACGCUGAGGAGCGAAAGCCAGGGGAGCAAACGGG
rnacentral:rRNA from 1 species